UACGGAGGGUGCGAGCGUUAAUCGGAAUUACUGGGCGUAAAGCGCGCGUAGGCGGUUGAUCAAGUUGGGUGUGAAAUUCCCGGGCUUAACCUGGGGUGGUCACUCAAAACUGGUUGACUAGAGUACAGUAGAGGUUGAUGGAAUUUCCGGUGUAGCAGUGAAAUGCGUAGAGAUCGGAAGGAACACCAGUGGCGAAGGCGAUUGACUGGGCUGAUACUGACGCUGAGGUGCGAAGGCGUGGGGAGCAAACAGG
rnacentral:misc_RNA from 1 species